AGUGGGACCUCUGGGGCGACGGUAGCAGCGGCUCCCAUGUCCAAGCAUGCCAGAUUGAUGCGGAGCUCCAAUCGUAACCAUGCUCGGUGCUUAGGGCACUUUGCUUCUAAUCAAAGGAAAAGGAAGGAGUGGUGUACCUGCCUGUUCUUGGGAAUUUGCUGUUCUUGAUGUCAUUCCUAACCAGGAAAAUGUGGUUGUGGAUGCAAAUGAUGAAAUUAUUAAACUCUAGGUCUUUCACUCAUGCAAACUUUACAGUGGCCUGGACAACUCGGAUAAGACAGUAAUUAUGCUCAAGAUAGAUGGAGACAACAUUAGUUGCUGGUGUUUAUCAAAGGGCAGUUGCUGGUGGAAUUAAAGGUUUAGAAAGCCCAUGUACUGACUGGUUAUGUAUGUGCAUCCCACAUAUUCUGAAAAUGCGUUUUUGGCUCAUUUGUCGCCAGCAAGAUCUCCAUUCUUCUUGUACAGAAAUUGAAGAACAAAGGUAGCGAUAACCAAUGGGAAACCUGCAUCCUGGUCUGGAGCAUAACCUCCUGUAGGUGGAGUGCAGCUGACUGGUGGAGUGCAAUUGAGAUCCAACAAAGGUGGAGUGCAAUUGAGGGUUGUUUGGCUGGAGCCGGAGACGAACAUGGCGGAGGCGAGCAGCAACAAUUAGUCAGCGGCAGGAGCCUGGAGCAACUGGAGCGGAGCUGUGCGUGCUGGAGAUCGAGGCGAUCCGGGCGUCCUGGGCAGCGAGGAAGAGGAUCGAGCGGAUCUGCGCGUUCUGGGGAUCCUGGCGACCUGGGGAUCGAGGGGACCAAGGGAUGAGGGCAGCGAUAACCUGGGGAGAAGCAGCGCCCAGGUCUGGGAGGCCAGGAUGAGCGACCUGGGGAGGGGGAGAAGCAGCGCCCAGGUCUAGAGGCCAGGAGGAGUAUGUGUUUGUACUGUUUUUCUUAAGAAGAGACGGGCUAAUUUUAGAGUGAAAACCAGGUUCCAAGUAGCCUAAAGAAGUUGCAUCCUUGUUGAAUUAGUUAGAUACACCGCAUAAGAGUCGUGUAUGCAGGUAGAUACGCAGGUGGGAUUGUGGGAACACAAAAAGUAAACUGGUAGGACGUGUUUCGUAGCUUGCGGGAGGCUCAACCUGCUCCCACGGAGACUAAAA